rnacentral:rRNA from 1 species
UACGAAGGGGGCAAGCGUUGUUCGGAAUGACUGGGCGUAAAGGGCGCGUAGGCGGUCGGCCAAGUCAGAUGUGAAAGCCCCGGGCUCAACCUGGGAACUGCAUUUGAGACUGGCUGACUCGAGUUCGGGAGAGGAUGGUGGAAUUCCCAGUGUAGAGGUGAAAUUCGUAGAGAUUGGGAAGAACACCGACGGCGAAGGCAGCCAUCUGGACCGACACUGACGCUGAGGCGCGACAGCGUGGGGAGCAAACAGGAUUAGAAACCCCCGUAGUCC